AGCAGCCGCGGUAAUUCCAGCUCCAAUAGCGUAUAUUAAAGUUGUUGCAGUUAAAAAGCUCGUAGUUGAAUUUCGGGGUCAAUAAGUUGGUCAUGCCAAUGGUAUGCACUGGCUUUAUUGAUUCCUACCUCUUGACGAACUGUGAUGCCAUUAAUUUGGUGUUGCAAGGAAUCAGGACUGUUACCUUGGAAAAUUAGAGUGUUUAAAGCAAGCUUACGCUUGAAUACAUUAGCAUGGAAUAAUGAAAUAGGACGUUUGAUCCUACUUUGUUGGUUUCUAGGAUCGACGUAAUGAUUAAUAGGGAUAGUUGGGGGCAUUAGUAUUCAAUUGUCAGAGGUGAAAUUCUUGGAUUUAUUGAAGACUAACUACUGCGAAAGCAUUUGCCAAGGAUGUUUUCAUUAAUCAAGAACGAAAGUCAGGGGAUCGAAGACGAUCAGAUACCGUCGUAGUCUUAACCAUAAACUAUGCCGACUAGGGAUCGGAUGAUGUUAAUUUUU
rnacentral:rRNA from 1 species